rnacentral:rRNA from 1 species
CGUAGGUGGCAAGCGUUGUCCGGAUUUAUUGGGUUUAAAGGGUGCGUAGGCGGCCCUGUAAGUCAGUGCUGAAAUAUCCCAGCUUAACUGGGAGGGUGGCAUUGAUACUGCGGGGCUAGAGUACAGAUGAGGUAGGCGGAAUUGACGGUGUAGCGGUGAAAUGCUUAGAUAUCGUCAAGAACACCUAUAGCGAAGGCAGCUUACUAGGCUGUAACUGACGCUGAGGCACGAAAGUGUGGGGAUCAAACAGGAUUAGAUACCCUGGUAGUCCACACUGUAAACGUUGAUUACUCGCUGUGUGCGAUAUACAGUACGCGGCCAAGCGAAAGCGCUAAGUAAUACACCUGGGGAGUACGCCGGCAACGGUG